rnacentral:rRNA from 1 species
GACGAACGCUGGCGGCGUGCUUAACACAUGCCAGUCGAACGGAAAGGCCCUGCUUGCAGGGUGCUCGAGUGGCGAACGGGUGAGUAACACGUGGGUGAUCUGCCCCUUACUUUGGGAUAAGCCUGGGAAACUGGGUCUAAUACUGGAUAGGACCAUGCUGUAGGUGGUGUGGUGGAAAGAUUAGUUUCGGUAAGGGAUGAGCUCGCGGCCUAUCAGCUUGUUGGUGGGGUAAUGGCCUACCAAGGCGUCGACGGGUAGCCGGCCUGAGAGGGUGGACGGCCACAUUGGGACUGAGAUACGGCCCAGACUCCUACGGGAGGCAGCAGUGGGGAAUAUUGCACAAUGGGCGCAAGCCUGAUGCAGCGACGCCGCGUGGGGGAUGACGGCCUCCGGGUUGUAAACUCCUUUCAGCCAUGACGAAGCCCUUGUGGUGACGGUAGUGGUAGAAGAAGCACCGGCUAACUACGUG